CUCCAGACUCCUACGGGAGGCAGCAGUGGGGGAUAUUGCACAAUGGGGGAAACCCUGAUGCAGCGACGCCGCGUGGGUGAAGAAGCGCCUCGGCGCGUAAAGCCCUGUCAGCAGGGAAGAAAAUGACGGUACCUGAAGAAGAAGCCCCGGCUAACUACGUGCCAGCAGCCGCGGUAAUACGUAGGGGGCAAGCGUUAUCCGGAUUUACUGGGUGUAAAGGGGGCGCAGACGGCGAUGCAAGCCAGGAGUGAAAGGCGGGGGCCCAACCCCCGGACUGCUUUGGAAACUGUAUAGCUGGAGUGCAGGAGAGGUAAGUGGAAUUCCUAGUGUAGCGGUGAAGUGCGUAGAUAUUAGGAGGAACACCGGCGGCGAAGGCGGCCUGCUGGACCGCGACUGACGUUGAGGCUCGAAAGCGUGGGGAGCGAACAGGAUUAGAUACCCGAGUAUAC
rnacentral:rRNA from 1 species